rnacentral:rRNA from 1 species
GAAUCGCAUGGUUUUCAUAUUAAAGUUCCAACGGUGAAAGAUGGGCAUGCGUCCCAUUAGCUAGAUGGUAAGNNAACGGCUUACCAUGGCAACGAUGGGUAGGGGUCCUGAGAGGGAGAUCCCCCACACUGGUACUGAGACACGGACCAGACUCCUACGGGAGGCAGCAGUGAGGAAUAUUGGUCAAUGGGCGCAAGCCUGAACCAGCCAUGCCGCGUGCAGGAUGAAGCAUCUAUGGUGUGUAAACUGCUUUUGUACGGGAAGAAACAGAGGUUCGUGAACCUCCUUGACGGUACCGUAAGAAUAAGGAUCGGCUAACUCCGUGCCAGCAGCCGCGGUAAUACGGAGGAUCCAAGCGUUAUCCGGAAUCAUUGGGUUUAAAGGGUCCGUAGGCGGCCUUAUAAGUCAGCGGUGAAAUCUCCCGGCUCAACCGGGAAAUGGCCAUUGAUACUGUAGGGCUUGAAUUACUAGGAAGUAACUAGAAUAUGUAGUGUAGCGGUGAAAUGCUUAGAGAUUACAUGGAAUACCAAUUGCGAAGGCAAGUUACUACUAGUGGAUUGACGCUGAUGGACGAAAGCGUGGGUAGCGAACAGGAUUAGAUACCCUGGUAGUCCACGCCGUAAACGAUGGAUACUAGCUGUUGGGAGUAAUCUCAGUGGCUAAGCGAAAGUGAUAAGUAU